UUUUCUUUCUCCCUUAUCACUUCUCGAUUACGUGAGUUUUUUUAUAUUCUUUUCUUUCAUCGGGUUCUAGAGUUUGAGCUUACUGGGUUCUUUUAACAUGAUGGGAUGAUGUUCAUUUUCAUUUUUUUUCUUUAAUCUUGUAUAAAUUUAUGCAGAUAUUUUUAUCGGUAUCUGAAUAUUUAUUUAAAGUUCAAUUUUUUUUUUUAAAAAUUUCUUUUGUGUUUUCUGCAUUAGAUAUUAGAGAGGAGAAGCUGUUGGUUGGAAAUUAAAGAGCCUGAGUCGACUUUUAUCAGGUUUUAGCUGCCUCUGUUGACGAUUUUCACAGACUCAAAUUUCAUCAAGUUUACGCGAUGAACCAUCCUUACGGUGAAGAUCAAGAUCAAGUGAAACUUGUAGGAUUUGAGAUUCCAAAGUCACCUGAUUCAGGUUACAAUAACGUGUUUCCGAAGAAUGAAGAUGAAGACCGAGAACCACCCCUAGUACCCCCACACCUUCAGCAUUCGUUGCUAAAUUAUCCAACAAAUGGAGAUUCACGUUCAUCCCUCCAAGCGACACAGAAUGUCACUCUAAAUCAUCUUUAUGUCGAGAAAAGAGAACCACCCCGAUCCGUAGUGGCGCUCGGGGCCACUCAUCGCUUUCGUUCCAAACUAGUUACUGUCGUGCUUUAUAAACCAAUUCAUAGGAGGUGAAACAGCAGCGUUUUAUGUGCACAGAACCUUAUCAGAAUGUAGGUUUGUCGAUGUAAUGACUGGAAUAUAGUAGUGGUAAAUACACAAGAGGAGAGCAAAAUAUAUUUGUUUAUUUUUUCUAGUGA